UCCCUGGUGGCUAAGAGGUUAAAGCGUCUGCCUCCAGUGCGGGAGACCCAGGUUUGAUCCCUGGGUUGGGAA
rnacentral:tRNA from 1 species